CCAAUCACCAGCAAUAGACCCAGGGUCCCUCUUAAUUGUCUCCUCCAGUAUGCGGCCUGUUCGCUAUGUGUCAAAGUUCGCAUACAAAGUCAAAGUACAGGCUGAGUGAAAGAAUGGGGUUUGUAAAAACCUUAGACAGUCAAAUGUUCAGAUCAGCCUGAUUCUGCAGUGGGGCUACCAGGAAGGGAGUAGAGGAGGAUUGCUGAGAGAGGCCUGUGCUGAGUUGUUUUUUCUGCUGCUCUGUGUGUGGCCAUCCCCAUCCGGAUGGACUUGCUGAAGACGAGGUGAGGUGUGAUUGUCUGGGGGAGGUGCAGGCUGACUGAGAAUUCUUGCUGGUUGGGAAACCAUCGAGAGUGAGAGGGCGGUCCUCUCUGAGGAGAGCUGCUGCAGGGGAAUGUUGUCCAGCUCCUUUGAAAAUUGUGCAUCAAGACACAUCAAGAAGAUGCUUCCUAAGCACUAAUGAACGAUAACAGUAAUCUAAAAUAGGAACUUUUUUCAAAUCUGUUCAGAAGAUGAAGGAAGACUCACUAUCCAUGUGCAUGCUGUGAGAGCUCAAAAGUAAUCUAUUUCCUUCCCACAGUGGUGCCACUAUCUAACAUGAGCUCCGAUCCAACUGUAAUUUUCAAACGUGGUAACCUUGCACAUUUGAAUACUGACUGAGGGCAUCUUGUCCUGCUAUCUUCAGCAAAGCUGUUGCUUUUGAUUACUUUUGGAAGUUAAAAAGUCUGUGAAAUGGGAAAAGGGAAGAUAAUGGUAUCUGGCUGUAGGUAGUCAGUAACAGAGGAGGAGGCUAUGGAAUUGCCUGCUCUAGAACAGAGCUGUACUGAAUAGAUUCAAAUUUUACCGUCAUGUAACAAACCUUGUGGAACUCAAUAACGUAUAAAAUUUCCAGUGGACAACUAUAGAACUUGAUUUUAAAAAGAGUCUAAGUUUAAAAUUUUACAUAGCAAACUAAAUGUGAACAACUAGUUAAUAAGCAACUAGUACUCAAACUGCAAAAACAUCUCCUUUGUAUUUUUUUAUUAACAUGACUGAGAACUGUAAUGUUGCACUGUACUCUCCAUUGAAUUACAGUCUUUAUAGAAAACAG